rnacentral:rRNA from 1 species
UUAUUAUUUAUUUUAUUAAAAAUAAUUAUAUAAGUUUAAUGUUGUAGUAUUGUAUAUAGAAAUGAUAUUUUAAAUUAUAGUUUAUUAGUAUUGUGAAAGAAGUUUGAAAUAAAUUGAAAAAUUUUUAUGUUAAAAGAAGAUAUUUUUAUUGUACCUUGUGUAUCAGGGUUUAUUAAAUAAAGAAUAAUUUUAUUAUUUUUUUCGAUUUCAAAAGAGUUAAUAAGUUAUAUUAGUUAAUGUGUCAUAAUUAUUAAUAAUAAUUUAUUUGAAAUGAAAUGUUAUUCGUUUUUGAGGGUAUCUAGUUUUUUAAGAAAUAGAUUUAAUCUAGUUUUUUUAAAUGUUUUAUGUUAUUUUUAACAAUAUAAAAUUUUAUGGAGAUUAUAUUUUAUGGGAUAAGCUAUAAAUUAAAUAUUUAUAAGUUAAUUAAUUAUUUAAUAAAUAUAUGUUUAGAAUUAGCAAUUAUUUAUAAAUAUGUUAUAAUAUAUUUUAUUUUUAUUAUUAUUUAUUUUUAACUUUAAUUUUUUAUUAAAAUAUUUAUUUUAAUUUUUUUUUAUAAAUUAAUAAUGAUGAAAUUAGUAUAUAUUUAUGUAUUAAUAAUUUUUUAUGUUAGGUUUAUAUAAAGAAUUCGGCAAAUUUAGUGUUCGCCUGUUUAACAAAAACAUGUCCUUUAGUGUUUAAUUUAAGGUUUAACCUGCCCAAUGAUUUAUUAAAUGGCCGCAGUAUUUUAACUGUGCAAAGGUAGCAUAAUCAUUAGUCUUUUAAUUGAAGGCUUGUAUGAAUGGUUGGACGAAACAUUUACUGUUUCAUUAAAAUUUUAUUAGAAUUUUAUUUUUUAGUUAAAAAGCUGAAAUUUUAUUAAAAGACGAGAAGACCCUAUAGAUCUUUAUAUUAUUAUUAUAUUAUUUAUUUAGAUUUUUUUAAAUUUUAUAUUAAAUAUUAUUUUAUUGGGGCGAUAGUAAAAUUUAAUUAACUUUUACAUAUGUAAAGUUUCAUUAAUUUAUGAAUAGUUGAUCCAUUUUUAGUGAUUAAUAAAUUAAGUUACCUUAGGGAUAACAGCGUAAUUUUUUUAGAGAGUUCAUAUCGAUAAAAAAUAUUGCGACCUCGAUGUUGGAUUAAGAUAUAGCUUUAGGUGUAGCAGUUUAGUGGCUAGGUCUGUUCGACCUUUAAAAUCUUACAUGAUCUGAGUUCAAACCGGCGUAAGCCAGGUUGGUUUCUAUCUUUAGUUAGUUUAAAUAUUUUAGUACGAAAGGGCCAAAUAUUUGAAACAUUAGUUUUUAUAUGGUGAAUUUUAUUAAUUAU